AGAGCGAAAGCAUUUGCCAAGUAUGUCUUAAUUGAUCAAGAACGAAAGUUAGAGGUUCGAAGGCGAUCAGAUACCGCCCUAGUUCUAACCAUAAACGAUGCCAGCCAGCGAUCCGCCGACGUUCCUCCGAUGACUCGGCGGGGAGCUUUCCCCGGGAAACCAAAGCUUUUGGGUUCCGGGGGAAGUAUGGUUGCAAAGCUGAAACUUAAAGGAAUUGACGGAAGGGCACCACCAGGAGUGGAGCCUGCGGCUUAAUUUGACUCAACACGGGAAACCUCACCAGGCCCGGAC
rnacentral:rRNA from 1 species